rnacentral:lncRNA from 1 species
CUGUGGUGGGGCCAGAAUUGCCAAUGCAUAACCCUCUAUUGGCAGGGUCCAGAACAUAGCCAGGCUGAGAGUUCUAAAUCUGAUGUACAUCAAAAUUCUUUUGUAACAUAAUAGAUAUAUCAUAAUCCGAUCUAAAUAUGCAUAUACGAUGCAAAAACAGUAAUAUAACAAUAGUCCAAAAAAUAUUAUUCCAAUUCACAUAUCCAUUUUUCAUUCAAAG